rnacentral:rRNA from 1 species
CCUACGGGCGGCAGCAGUGAGGAAUAUUGGUCAAUGGGAGGAAUCCUGAACCAGCCAUGCCGCGUGCAGGACGACGGCUCUACGAGUUGUAAACUGCUUUUGUACCGGGGUAAAAUGCUCUACGAGUAGGGUUUUGAAAGUACGGUACGAAUAAGGAUCGGCUAACUCCGUGCCAGCAGCCGCGGUAAUACGGAGGAUCCGAGCGUUAUCCGGAUUCAUUGGGUUUAAAGGGUGCGUAGGUUGUUUUAUAAGUUAGCGGUGAAAUACCGAUGCUCAACAUCGGGGCUGCCGCUAAUACUGUAGGACUAGAGAUCGGAUGCAGCAGGCGGAAUGUGUAGUGUAGCGGUGAAAUGCAUAGAUAUUAGGAGGAACACCGGUGGCGAAGGUGGCCUGCUGGACUGUGACUGACGUUGAGGCCCGAAGGCGUGGGGAGCAAACAGGAUUAGAUACCCCAGUAGUC